CUCUCUCUGGAUGAUGUGAUUCACUCUGACAGGCUGAGUCUUUCAGGUUUUAGGCUGUCUCUCUGUUGGACUGAGCUCAGUGAAUGAGAGCUGGUUCAGAAGAUCACAUCUUUCUCUUCAUUCACUCAGACUGAAAGUUCUGCUGCGUCUCUCAUCAUAUAAUAACUGUAGUUUGUCCAAAAGUCUCCACUGGGUUUCAGUGUAGUGCUGCUGUAGAGGACGUGAAUGUUUUUAUAGCACUUUGUGGAUCAGUGACUGAACAGUGAAGAUUGUUUUUGGUCCUGAUUAAGAGAAGAUUUCUGAGGAUCGAUCUGAAGGGCUUGAGUACUGAGAGUACAUUUACACUGUGAGGAGAAGAGUCACUGUGCAGUUCACCCUACAGCUGAGUCAGUAUGAUCAUCAGGCUGGGCAGACUCACUCCGGGGUACUUCAAACUGCUACAGAGGCAGAUGUCAGGUGAGGUUCAGGUGCAGCCUCAGUUCGGACCUGUCAAUCACGUCGCUAUGGCGAUGGCGAUGGUGGGUGUGAGUGUCUCCUUCUACAGCGCCAGGCAGAUGGGUCAACAGCAGGUCCAGCAGGAACCAUGCUAAAGACUUGCAGAACCACACUAAAGGAACUAUGCUAGAACCACACUAACACCCAGCAAACCAUGUUAAUGGAAUCAGAGAAUCACACUACAGAACCGGAGAACCAGGGUAAAAGAACUAGAAAGUUAACAGAACCUGAGGACCACACUAACAGAACAAGAGAACCAGUCUAAUACUGUUGGAGGACGACACUAGAAGAAUUAGAAAAUCACACUAAAGAUCUGUAGAACAACACAGAGUCAGAGAACCAUUCUAAUAGAACUGACGGACAACACUAAUGAAAACAUAAAAUCAUGUUAACAGAACCUAAGAACCACACUAACAGAACCAUAGAACCAUACUAACAGAACCAUGCUAAUGGAGGCAGUGAACAAAGCUAACAAUGUGAGACUGCCAUGGUGAAUAACCUGGAGAACCUCCAUUCAGAACCGGAAAGCACUAAAGGAAUCAAGAAAUCACACUAACAGAGGAGAGAACCAUGCUAAAACAACCAGAGAACCACUCUAACAGAUCCAGGAGAACCAAAAGCUAACAGAGCCAGAGAACCGCUAACAGAACUGGAGAAUCACGUUGACCAAACCGGAGAACCCAACCAAAAGAAUGGAACCACAGAACCAAUUGAACUGAAGCAGAUAACCAAGUGAACAGAGCCUGAGAGUCACACUAACAGAACCAGAGAACCACACUAACAGAACUGGACAAUAAAAAUAACAGAACUGGAGAGCCACGCUAAAGAUCUAGAAAACCACAGUGAAGGAACAGGAGAACCUUGAGAAAGGGGAAAACCUCACAGUGAUGUUAAAAUAGAGAAUAUGUGUUUGAGUGUGGAGGAUGGGCUGAUAGUAAAGGUCUGAGGCUGAAUCUUAAAUGGUUCUGGUUCUUCCUGUUCCUUUUCUUCCUAUGCUCAGAAAAACCCAGCUGAACCUGAGUGAAUGCAGAGAGAACUUUCUAGAGUCUUUCAAGAAUCACACACAAAAACUGGGGGUGGCUGAUAUGAAAAAUAUAACAUCACAAUAUUUAAAAAAUUGUAUCUAUGGCAAAUUGAAUGAACUUAUCACUACUGUACUAGCGAGCUAAUGCACUACAUAGUACAGCAGGGAGCUAAUGCACUACAUAGUACAGUAGGGAGCUAAUGCACUACAUAGUACAGCAGGGAGCUAAUGCACUACAUAGUACAGCAGGGAGCUAAUGCACUACAUAGUACAGCAGGGAGCUAAUGCACUGUGUAGUACUGUAGGGAUCUAAUGCACUACAUAGUAUAGCAGGGAGCUAAUGCACUACAUAGUACAGCAGGGAGCUACUGCACUGCAUAGUACAGUAGGGAGCUAAUGCACUACAGCAGGAAGCUACUGCACUACAUAGUACAGUAGGGAACUAAUGCACUACAUAGUAUAGUAGGGAACUAAUGCACUACAUAGUAUAGUAGGGAGCUAAUGCACUACAUAGUACAGCAGGGAGCUACUGCACUGCAUAGUACAGUAGGGAGCUAAUGCACUACAGCAGGAAGCUACUGCACUACAUAGUACAGUAGGGAACUAAUGCACUACAUAGUAUAGUAGGGAACUAAUGCACUACAUAGUAUAGUAGGGAGCUACUGUACUACAUCGUACAGCAGGAAGCUACUGCACUAUAUAGUACAGCAGGAAGCUACUGCACUACAUAGUACAGCAGGAAGCCACUGCACUACAUAGUACAGCAGAGAGCUAAUGCACUACAUAGCAUAGUAGGGAGCUACUACACUACAUAGUACAGUAGGGAGCCAAUGCACUACAUAGUACAGCAGGGAGCCAAUGCAUUACAUAGUACAGCAGGGAGCUACUGCACUACAUAGUACAGCAGGGAGCUAAUGCACUACAUAGUACAGCAGGAAGCUACUGCACUACAUAGUACAGUAGGGAGCUAAUGCACUACAUAGUACAGCAGGAAGCUACUGCACUACAUAGUACAGCAGGAAGCUACUGCACUACAUAGUACAGUAGGGAGCUAAUGCACUACAUAGUACGGCAGGAAGCUACUGUACUACAUAGUACAGCAGGAAGCUACUGCACUACAUAGUACAGCAGGAAGCUACUGCACUACAUAGUACAGUAGGAAGCUAAUGCACUACAUAGUACAGCAUGGAGCUAAUGCACUGUGUAGUACUGUAGGGGACUAGUGCACUACAUAAUACAGUAGGAAGCUAGUGCACUAUGUAGUACAGUAGGGACCUAGUGCACUAUGUAGUACAGUAGGGACCUAGUGCACUAUGUAGUACAGUAGGGACCAGGUGCACUAUGUAGUACAGUAGGGACCUAGUGCGCUACAUAGUACAGCAGAAAUCUAGUGCACUACAUAGUUCAGUACAAAGUAAGUACUGUGUAGGGCUCUAUGUAGUGCACUAGCUAUGUACUGUGCACUACAUAGAGCCCUACACAGGGAGCAGAGAGCUAAUGGAGGUUCAGCUUGAGUCUGAUCUACAGGACGUCUGGAGGUUGGAGAUACAGAAUGUAGUGUGUGGGGUUAUGCCGGUUAUGCAGGUUAUGCAGGUUAUGUUGUUGAUGCAGGUGAGGGAACGAUGAUUAAACGACACUGUAAGUGAAUCUGAUGGUUAUAAUAAUUACCGGUUGUCAUGGUAAUUCUUUACUGACAGUAAGGUAUUUGGUAAUGCUUUAUUUCAUUUAGCUCAUGCUUUCUCAGCAAAUAUCUAGAACCCGAUGGAAUUUCAGAGUAAUUUAAAUAAACUGUCUUAAAACUUACCAUCAUGUUACCCAAAUAAUUGUUUAGUACUUUUGAGUGUGUACCUCAUGCUUACUCAAUUAAUAUCUAGAACCUGUUGGGCAUUUUAUUAUAAUUUAGUUAGACUGUCUCAGAACUCACCAUCAUGUAACCCAAAUAAUUUUAUUUUGGAGUUUGUACCUCACGCUCAUCCAGUUAAAUAUCUAGAACUGAAGUGAUGUAAAAGAAAACGUUACUGAGUACUUUUAUUAUCUGCUCCAUGUUAAGAGCUCUUGAAUGCUGGUCACACUGUCUUUAUAAUAUUUUAUAUUUAUUGAAAACAUCACUGAAGCCUCUGGGGUUUGUAAUGUGAAUGAAAUCUUCUGUAUUAAAUUAUUACAGCUAUUUUACUGUCAAACUGUAUAUCAUUAUUGCAGGUGCAGUCAUACUUAAUAAUGUCAAAACAUAACAAUAUUACACACAAAGAAGUUUAAUUCACAUCUGUUUAAUUAUGUCACUUAAUGAGUUUAAUACGGUUCUCUAUCCUCUCUGAAUACAUCAGCUGUGAAGGAACUUUAACACACUGUGAAACUGUUAUUUUACAUCACGUCAGUUUGUAUCACUCAGAUUGUUGUUGUAUUUACCAAAUAAAGCACACAGGAUACUGUAAAUU